GCCCAUGUAGCUCAGAGGUAGAGCACAUCCUUGGUAAGGAUGAGGUCACCGGUUCAACUCCGGUCAUGGGCUCCA
rnacentral:tRNA from 2 species